rnacentral:rRNA from 1 species
GACGAACGCUGGCGGCGUGCCUAAUACAUGCAAGUCGAGCGCAGGAAAUCAUCCGAACCCUUCGGGGGGACGUUGGUGGAAUGAGCGGCGGACGGGUGAGUAAUACGUAAAGAACCUGCCCUCAGGUCUGGGAUAACCACGAGAAAUCGGGGCUAAUACCGGAUGGGUCAUCGGACCGCAUGGUCCGAGGAUGAAAGGCGCUUCCGCGUCGCGUGGGGAUGGCUUUGCGGUGCAUUAGCUAGUUGGUGGGGUAAUGGCCCACCAAGGCGACGAUGCAUAGCCGACCUGAGAGGGUGAUCGGCCACACUGGGACUGAGACACGGCCCAGACUCCUACGGGAGGCAGCAGUAGGGAAUCUUCCACAAUGGACGAAAGUCUGAUGGAGCAACGCCGCGUGAACGAUGAAGGCCUUCGGGUCGUAAAGUUCUGUUGUAAGGGAAGAACAAGUGCCGCAGGAAAUGGCGGCACCUUGACGGUACCUUGCGAGAAAGCCACGGCUAACUACGUGCCAGCCGCCGCCGUAA